GUUGCAAGACCUUCAUGAUGAAAGAAGAUAUGGAAAUGAUAAUAUCAUUAAAAGAAGUGUCAUCCAAUUGUAUUUUAUACUACAUCUGGCAUUUGCAUAGAAAGUUGAUUGAUGCAAAGCAGGCCGAACGAUAUGUUUUUGUCAAUCCGGCAUUGGUCUCAAAAGCUGGAAUGGGAGAGGGAAGCAAGGAAAACAGUUUUGCGGGAAGAAAUCAUAUAGUGAAAUGGAAAUUAAUGAAGUUCGAUCAGAUUGGGUUAUGUUAGUGACUCAGUUAAUCAUUACUCAUGUUUGAAGUGUUUUCAAUAUGGAUCAUUUUGGGGGUUGCUCUAUUAUGAUUGAUGUAUAGUUGGCAUAUUGAGAGGUGAAGCCAAGUAGACAUGGUUGUACAAAAAGGCAUAGGUCAUUCUAUUAACAACGUCACUACUGCUCUUGAUGAAGGACACCCACAAACAAUUCAAAAUAUAUCAU